ACUCAAAUGAAUUGACGGGGGCUCACACAAGCGGUGGAGGAUGUGGCUCAAUUCGAAGCAACGCGAAGAACCUUAUCCUGGGCUUGACAUGCACGGAUGGAACCUGUGAAAGCAGGGGACUGCCCGCAAGGGUGAAACGUGCACAGGUGCUGCAUGGCUGUCGUCAGCUCGUGCUGUGAAGUGUCGGGUUAAGUCCCUUAACGAGCGAAACCCUUGUCGUUAGUUACCAGCGGGUCAUGCCGGGAACUCUAACGAGACUGCCGGUGUUAAACCGGAGGAAGGUGGGGAUGACGUCAAGUCCUCAUGGCCUUUAUGCCCAGGGCUGCACACGUCCUACAAUGGGGCGCACAGAGGGUCGCAAAACCGCGAGGUCAAGCUAAUCCCUUAAAACGCCUCUCAGUCCGGAUUGCAGGCUGCAAUUCGCCUGCAUGAAGUUGGAAUCGCUAGUAAUCGCGGAUCAGCAUGCCGCGGUGAAUGUGUUCCUGAGCCUUGUACACACCGCCCGU
rnacentral:rRNA from 1 species